GAUGAACGCUGGCGGCGUGCCUAAUACAUGCAAGUCGAGCGAACAGACGAGGAGCUUGCUCCUCUGACGUUAGCGGCGGACGGGUGAGUAACACGUGGAUAACCUACCUAUAAGACUGGGAUAACUUCGGGAAACCGGAGCUAAUACCGGAUAAUAUAUUGAACCGCAUGGUUCAAUAGUGAAAGACGGUUUUGCUGUCACUUAUAGAUGGAUCCGCGCCGCAUUAGCUAGUUGGUAAGGUAACGGCUUACCAAGGCAACGAUGCGUAGCCGACCUGAGAGGGUGAUCGGCCACACUGGAACUGAGACACGGUCCAGACUCCUACGGGAGGCAGCAGUAGGGAAUCUUCCGCAAUGGGCGAAAGCUUGACGGAGCAACGCCGCGGGGGUGAUGAAGGUCUUCGGAUCGUAAAACUCUGUUAUUAGGGAAGAACAAAUGUGUAAGUAACUAUGCGCGUCUUGACGGUACCUAAUCAGAAGGCCACGGCUAACUACGU
rnacentral:rRNA from 1 species